CCCGCUGAACUUAAGCAUAUCACUAAGCGGAGGAAAAGAAACUAACAAGGAUUCCCUUAGUACCUGCGAGUGAAUAAGGAUUAGCACAGCACUGAUGCCUGCGGUUAUUUAACUGCAAGGCAAUGUGGUGUUUAGGUUUGUUCUUGGCAUUACACUGCUCUGUCCUAAGUCCAGCAAUGAGUACGGCAUACCAUUCUGACCCAGAGAGGGUGAAAGGCCCGUGGAGGGUAUAGACCAAGCAUGACAAUUUUGUCCAAAGCUAACUUUGGAAUCGGGUUGUUUGAGAAUGAAGCCCAGAUUAACUCUAUUCAUUCUCGUCUCU
rnacentral:ncRNA from 1 species